ACGCGGCGGACGGGUGAGUAACGCGUGGGUAACCUGCCUCAUACAGGGGGAUAACAGUUAGAAAUGACUGCUAAUACCGCAUAAGACCACAGCACCGCAUGGUGCGGGGGUAAAAACUCCGGUGGUAUGAGAUGGACCCGCGUCUGAUUAGCUAGUUGGUAAGGUAACGGCUUACCAAGGCGACGAUCAGUAGCCGACCUGAGAGGGUGACCGGCCACAUUGGGACUGAGACACGGCCCAA
rnacentral:rRNA from 1 species